rnacentral:lncRNA from 10 species
GAGACAUGGUGUGGCCCUAGGCACUGAGAAAUGUUUACCUGCUAGGGAAGCUGCAAGUCUAAGGGAAUUUGAGAGAACCUAUGGGCAGAGGUCAAAGAAGAGCAACUCAGGACAUGUUACUACUGGAGUUUUCUGUAUGUUUCAUAAUUAGAUGAAACACAGGGGCAAUAUCUGCUUUUAGCAGAUGCCAGAAAAAUAAAGAUAACAGUGGAAAUGUGUGGUGGAAUGGGGAGAACCUCAUACUUCAUCACAUUUAAUCCUUGCAGCAACCUUAUGGAGUUUGUACCUGGUAACCUUUUAAUCUUCAUCUUACAGGUGAGGAAACUGAGGCAAUAAAAGGCUAAGUUAAUUGUUGGAAGUCACACAGAAGUGGGAGAAGGGACUUCAGAGUGUGUGCUCUUCACCGAGUCUUGUUUCUGCCACGCUACCUUCCUCUCUCAGUGUUUUUCCAUAGGAAUUUCCUGAAAAGCCCCCAUCCUUAUUCCUCUGUAGUUGGGAACUUUACCUCACCCUCCUUUGUAUUCUUUUUCUGUUUUAAUUUGUUUUUUUUUUUUUUCAAGACAGUGUCUCCCUCUGUCACCCAGGCUGGAAUGUAAUGGUGGUGAUCCCGGCUCACUGCAGCCUCCACCUCCCAGGUUCAGUCGAUCCUCCUGCCUCAGCCUCCCUAGUAGCUGGGACCACAGGUGCACACCACCAUGCCCAGCUACUUUUUGUAUUUUAGUAGAGAUGGGAUUUCACCAUGUUGGCCAGGCUGGUCUCCAACUCCUGGGCUCAAGUAAUCUACCCACCUUGACCUCCCAAAGUGCUAGGAUUACAGGCAUGAGCCACCAUUCCCGGCCUCACCUUUCUUUAUAUUCUGCUCCCACUGCCUAAAAGUGGAUGGAUUACUUCUAUCUUUAUGAGCAUGGGACAUUUUUGCAAGAAGGUGACCCUGAGACUGAAGUGGAUGGUGAUCGGAGCCAGCUGCUUGGUGCUGAAGGGCCAAGAAACCUGGGCUCAAGUGUCCUGUGAUCAAGAAUUAGGACAUGAGCCAGAAGGCACAUAAACAAUCUAUGCUUUUACCAGUUUGCAAGCAAAGUCACACCUUUGUUCAAGGAAUGAUAACUGCCUUCUUAUUACAUGUACUGACUUCAUUUCCUGAACCGAUUAUGCAAUUUUGCACCUUUGAGCCUUUGAAGAGGCUGUUUCACUGCUUGGAAAUCCAUUUCUUCUCUCUUCCACCUGAUAGACUUCUACUCUUCCUUCAAGGGUCAGCCCGAGUGGCAUCCUUUUGAAGUUUCUUCUGUCUCCCUGACCAGCUGUGAGCCCUCUAGGGCCAAGACAGUGGCUUCCUAACCUGGUCUGGGCACUUUAACACUAGCACAGGACUUGGCACAAGAAACAAGCCCUUUCAGAUGUGAAGGACCUCUUCAAGGAGAACUACAAACCACUGCUCAACAAAAUAAAAGAAGACACAGACAAAUGGAAGAACAUUCCAUGCUCAUGCAUAGGAAGAAUCAAUAUCAUGAAAAUGGCCAUACUGCCCAAGGUAAUUUAUAGAUUCAAUGCCAUCCCCAUCAAGCUACCAAUGGCUUUCUUCACAGAAUUGGAAAAAACUACUUUAAAGUUCAUAUGGAACCAAAAAAGGGCCCGCAUUGCCAAGACAAUCCUAAGCCUAAAGAACAAAGCUGGAAGCAUCACACUACCUGACUUCAAACUAUAUACAAGGCUAUAGUAACCAAAACAGCAUGGUACUCGUACCAAAACAGAGAUAUAGACCAAUGGAACAGAACAGAGCCCUCAGAAAUAAUACCACGCAUCUACAACCAUCUGAUCUUUGACAAACCUGACAAAAACAAGAAAUGGGGAAAGGAUUUCCUAUUUAAUAAAUGGUGCUGGGAAAACUGGCUAGCCAUAUGGAGAAAGCUGAAACUGGAUCCCUUCCUUAUACCUUAGACAAAAAUUAAUUCAAGAUGGAUUAAAGACUUAAAUAUUAGACCUAAAACCAUAAAAACCCUAGAAGAAAACCUAGGCAAUACCAUUCAGGGCAUAGGCAUGGGCAAGGACUUCAUGUCUAAAACACCAAAAGCAAUGGCAACAAAAGCCAAAAUUGACAAAUGGGAUCUAAUUAAACUAAAGACCUGCACAGUAAAAGAAACUACCAUCAGAGUGAACAGGCAAACUACAGAAUGGGAGAAAAUUUUUGCAAUCUACUCAUCUGACAAAGGGCUAAUAUCCAGAAUCUACAAAGAACUCAAACAAAUUUACAAGAAAAAAACAAACAACCUUAUCAAAAAGUGAGUGAAGGAUAUGAACAGACACUUCUCAAAAGCAGACAUUUAUGCAGCCAAAAGACACACAAAAAAAUGCUCAUCAUCACUGGUCAUCAGAGAAAGGCAAAUCAAAACCACAAUGAGAUACCAUCUCACACCAG